rnacentral:rRNA from 1 species
AUACGGAGGGUGCAAGCGUUACUCGGAAUCACUGGGCGUAAAGCGCGCGCAGGCGGCUAUUUAAGUUGGAUGUGAAAGCCUAUGGCUCAACCAUAGAACUGCAUCCAAAACUAUUUAGCUAGAGUGUGGGAGAGGAAGAUGGAAUUAGUUGUGUAGGGGUAAAAUCCGUAGAGAUAACUAGGAAUACCAAAAGCGAAGGCAAUCUUCUGGAACACUACUGACGCUGAGGCGCGAAAGCGUGGGGAGCACACAGGAUUAGAAACCCUAGUAGUCC